GACAAGAAAGAGAACGCUGUUGGCAAAAUCCGACACAGCUGGCUGUUUGUUUUCUUGGAGAACCCAAAGAGUGUGCAAGGAAACAGAAAAGGACUAAAAGCCUGAGUUUCGUGAGUGUUAGGUGCCAUUACACCUGGAUCUGGAAAAGACACGGGGAGACAGACGUGGUUUCAAUUUGUGUAAUGAAGAAAAUCCAGCCUGGAAGUCCUGAGGUG